rnacentral:piRNA from 1 species
UCCCGUUGAUUCGAUUCGGCAUGGCGCCAU